ACAACUGACUGUUGCUUGCUAGAUAUUCUCUUUCAGUCAGUAAGAAAUACUCAUUAUAAUAUUUCCCCCUUGGUUUCCCAGUAUUAUUCCUGAGGGCAUGGCCCUUUCUCUCAGUAUGGAAAGUCUACAGUUAAAUAGGGUUUUUAUCUACAAUCUACAAAACUGAGGAGCAGCACAACUAUGAGAUGAAUAAUUAAAAGGAAAAAAAGAAACUGAAGAUGCCCUUUGCUGUAUAGUUGCAAGUUUCCACUUGAAAACUAAUUAAGGGCUACCUGUAGAUGUUGUUUAUCUAGACUCUUGAAGGUUAUCUACAGAGAUUUCCUUCGAGGAGUUAAGUGUUGACAAUAAGGAGGUUAUUGCCCAAACCCAACCAAGGACAUGUGCUCAGUCACUAGCGUAGAUGUACCUGUAAACAUCUAACUACAUGGUUACAACGGCAAAUCAGGUAUUUGUCAUUUGAUCAAAAACAUGAGCGUCAUCUCAGAUUCUGUGACAGCAGGACCAUUUUAGGACUGAAAAUGUUUUGAAAUAACUCCUUAAAAUUCCAUAUUUUGGUUGAAAAUAUUGACUAGUAUUGGAACAUAAGAAUACAAGAAAGAAGAUGAAAUAGCCUUUACUGAUAUGUAUAAUAACAAUUGAGAAUAUAAGUUAAAUAAAAUUAGGUUUUGCUGGACUGGCAUUGUAAAUUAAAUCUAAUCAAUGGUGCUGGCAAUGCCAAUCAAUAUUAUCUGUUAACUUUGUAUAAUACUACUUUAAAUACAAAGCAAUCUAGAUGCUAGUCUUUAUUAUUAAGCAACGAAAAAGAGCUGACCCCCAUUAAAAGGCUUCCGUUGAGAUAUGCUGGUAAAUUUGUAAAAUUGCCUUUGUUCUGUAUAAUUUAGAAUAGGCAAGUUUGACCAAAUCUUUUCUCAGUAAUACUCACUAUUUAAUGCUAGUGUCAGCAUUACAAUUGCAUUAAAUGGCUCGUUAUCAAAGAAGUCUGGUUUAUGAUUCUUUGACAAAAUCAUAAACGUGUAGAUGUUCAAAAAGAUAUAAUAUAGAUGCCAUGAAAGAAAAAAACACUCAUAAAUAUGUAUUUGAUUAAAUAAUGCAUUCUG